CAGCAGCCGCGGUAAUGCGUAGGGUGCAAGCGUUAAUCGGAAUUACUGGGCGUAAAGCGUGCGUAGGCGGUUUGUUAAGUCUGUUGUGAAAUCCCCGGGCUCAACCUGGGAAUGGCAAUGGAUACUGGCAAGCUAGAGUGUGUCAGAGGAUGGUGGAAUUCCCGGCGUAGCGGUGAAAUGCGUAGAGAUCGGGAGGAACAUCAGUGGCGAAGGCGGCCAUCUGGGACAACACUGACGCUGAGGCACGAAAGCGUGGGGAGCAAACAGGAUUAGAUACCCCGGUAGUCCCUGUCUCUUAUAC
rnacentral:rRNA from 1 species